rnacentral:rRNA from 1 species
GGAUGAACGCUAGCGGCAGGCUUAACACAUGCAAGUCGAGGGGCAACACGGGUAGCAAUACCUGGUGGCGACCGGCGCAAGGGUGCGUAACGCGUGAGCAACAUGCCCUAUACAGGGGGAUAAUCCAGGGAAACUUGGUCUAAUAUCCCAUAGUAUUUAGAGGUGGCAUCACCACUAAAUUAAAGCUUCGGUGGUAUAGGAUUGGCUCGCGUGACAUUAGCUGGAUGGUGGGGUAACGGCUCACCAUGGCGAUGAUGUCUAGGGGUUCUGAGAGGAAGACCCCCCACACUGGGACUGAGACACGGCCCAGACUCCUACGGGAGGCAGCAGUGAGGAAUAUUGGACAAUGGAUGGAAAUCUGAUCCAGCCAUGCCGCGUGCAGGAAGACGGCCCUAUGGGUUGUAAACUGCUUUUAUAUGGGAGCAAUAAGGUUUACGCGUAGACCGAUGAGAGUACCAUAUGAAUAAGCAUCGGCUAACUCCGUGCCAGCAGCCGCGGUAAUACGGAGGAUGCGAGCGUUAUCCGGAUUUAUUGGGUUUAAAGGGUGCGUAGGCGGCCUUGUAAGUCAGCGGUGAAAUUUUGCAGCUUAACUGUAACANUGCCGUUGAUACUGCGGGGCUAGGAUUUGGUUGCUGUGGGUGGAAUGUGUGGUGUAGCGGUGAAAUGCUUAGAUAUCACACAGAAUAUCGAUUGCGAAGGCAGCUCACAAAGCCAAGAUUGACGCUGAGGCACGAAAGUGUGGGGAUCAAACAGGAUUAGAUACCCUGGUAGUCCACACUGUAAACGAUGAUAACUCGCUGCCGGCGAUACACAGUCGGUAGCCAAGCGAAAGCGAUAAGUUAUCCACCUGGGGAGUACGACCGCAAGGUUGAAACUCAAAGGAAUUGACGGGGGCCCGCACAAGCGGAGGAACAUGUGGUUUAAUUCGAUGAUACGCGAGGAACCUUACCCGGGCUCGAACGGUGCAUGAAUAUAAAAGAGAUUUUAUAGUCCUUCGGGACAUGUAUCGAGGUGCUGCAUGGUUGUCGUCAGCUCGUGCCGUGAGGUGUAGGCUUAAGUGCCAUAACGAGCGCAACCCUUGUCGUUAGUUGCCAUCAGGUAAUGCUGGGAACUCUAGCGAGACUGCCACCGUAAGGUGUGAGGAGGGGGGGGAUGACGUCAAAUCAGCACGGCCCUUAUGUCCGGGGCGACACACGUGUUACAAUGGGGGGUACAGAGGGCAGCCAUCCGGUGACGGAGCGCUAAUCUCCAAAACCCUUCUCAGUUCGGAUUGGAGUCUGCAACCCGACUCCAUGAAGUUGGAUUCGCUAGUAAUCGCGCAUCAGCCAUGGCGCGGUGAAUACGUUCCCGGGCCU